rnacentral:tRNA from 1 species
GAAAUAUAGGCUAAUCAUUUAAACCAUGGGCCUUCAAAGCCCAAACUGUGAACCACUCAC